rnacentral:rRNA from 1 species
GAUGAACGCUAGCGGGAGGCUUAACACAUGCAAGUCGAGGGGCAGCACGGGGUAGCAAUAUCCUGGUGGCGACCGGCGCACGGGUGAGUAACGCGUAUGUAACCUACCCUGUACAGGGGGAUAGCCCGGAGAAAUUCGGAUUAAUACCCCAUAAAGAUAUUGAGAGGCAUCUUUUAAUAUUUAAAGCUCAGGUGGUACGGGAUGGGCAUGCGUAACAUUAGCUAGUUGGUAGGGUAACGGCCUACCAAGGCAUCGAUGUUUAGGGGUCCUGAGAGGGUGAUCCCCCACACUGGUACUGAGACACGGACCAGACUCCUACGGGAGGCAGCAGUGAGGAAUAUUGGUCAAUGGGCGCAAGCCUGAACCAGCCAUCCCGCGUGAAGGAAGAAGGCGCUAUGCGUUGUAAACUUCUUUUUCAGGGGAAGAAUGUCCUGUACGCGUACGGGAUUGACGGUACCUUGAGAAUAAGCAUCGGCUAACUCCGUGCCAGCAGCCGCGGUAAUACGGAGGAUGCGAGCGUUAUCCGGAUUUAUUGGGUUUAAAGGGUGCGUAGGCGGAUAGAUAAGUCAGUGGUGAAAUACUGCAGCUUAACUGUAGAAUUGCCGUUGAUACUGUCAGUCUUGAGUAUGGUUAAGGUAGGCGGAAUGUGUAAUGUAGCGGUGAAAUGCUUAGAUAUUACACAGAACACCGAUUGCGAAGGCAGCUUACUGAGCCAAAACUGACGCUGAGGCACGAAAGCGUGGGGAGCGAACAGGAUUAGAUACCCUGGUAGUCCACGCCGUAACGAUGAUCACUCGCUGUUAGCGAUACACAGUUAGCGGCUAAGCAAAAGCAUUAAGUGAUCCACCUGGGGAGUACGGCCGCAAGGCUGA